rnacentral:rRNA from 1 species
AGGAUAAACGCUGGCGGCGUGCCUAACACAUGCAAGUCGAACGUCCUACGCAAGUAGGGAGUGGCGGACGGGUGAGUAACACGUGGGCAAUCUACCUUUCGGUGAGGAAUACCGGCGAGAAAUCGCCGACAAUACCGCAUACGCUUCGCAAGAAGCAAAGUCGCAAGACGCCGGAGGAGGAGCCUGCGCCCGAUUAGCUGGUUGGUGGAGUAAUGGUCUACCAAGGCGACGAUCGGUAGCUGGUCUGAGAGGAUGAUCAGCCACACUGGGAUUGAGAACGGCCCAGACUCCUACGGGGGGCAGCAGUGAGGAAUUUUCGUCAAUGGGGGAAACCCUGACGCAGCAACGCCGCGUGGAGGAUGAAGUCCCUUGGGACGUAAACUCCUUUCGAUCGGGACGAUUAUGACGGUACCGGAAGAAGAAGCCCCGGCUAACUUCGUGCCAGCAGCCGC